rnacentral:misc_RNA from 1 species
AAGUCGUAACAAGGUCUCCGUAGGUGAACCUGCGGAGGGAUCAUUAACACUUUUUCAAAAAAUAAAAUAUUAAAUCUAUCGUAUUAAACGUAAUAGUAAAUACUAUAUAGAUUUAUAUAUUUUUUCACACCUUGCGAGAACUUUCAUGACAGUGGAUUUUUACUAAUCCUACUGAAUUGAUGUCUUUUUUCUUAUCAUUUGUGUCAAAUAAAAUUGAAAAAUUUAUUUUGAUAUUUUUGAUAGAAAAUUGUUUUUUAAUAAUUUUUUUUAAAACACCGUAUCACGCAACAUACAAUAUUUUUUUAUAUUUUAUUGACUAAAACAAACAAGUUUUCUUGUUUUUUUUUUGUCAUAAUACUUAAUAAAUAAUAUAGUACAACUCUUAGCAAUGGAUAUCUUGGUUCUC